rnacentral:rRNA from 1 species
UACAGAGGGUGCGAGCGUUAAUCGGAAUUACUGGGCGUAAAGCGUGCGUAGACGGUUAUUUAAGUCGGGUGUGAAAGCCCCGGGCUCAACCUGGGAAUUGCAUUCGAGACUGAAUAGCUAGGGUACGGUAGAGGGAAGUGGAAUUUCCGGUGUAGCGGUGAAAUGCGUAGAUAUCGGGAGGAACACCGGUGGCGAAGGCGGCCCCCUGGUUGGAUACCGACGCUGAGACGCGAAAGCGUGGGGAGCAAACAGG